rnacentral:rRNA from 1 species
UAGAGAAUAGAGGCAAAUCCCUAUUCUUAAUAUCGAGAUGUGAUGGGGAGCGAAAAACAAGUAGUGAAGCAACAAAUUCCAAACUGCCAAGAAAAGGUACUAUUGAGUGAGAAGAUACCCGUACCAAAACCGACACAGGUAGGCAAGGAGAGAAUCCUAAGACGCGCGGAAGAACCUUUGUUAAGGAACUCGGCAAAAUGACCCCGUAACUUCGGGAGAAGGGGUACCAUUAGAUGUGAUAUACAUACGUAUGGAGCAUAGAGUGGUCGCAGAGAAUAGGCCCAAGCAACUGUUUACCAAAAACACAAGUCUCUGCUAAAUCGAAAGAUGAAGUAUAGGGGCUGACACCUGCCCGGUGCUGGAAGGUUAAGGGGAAAUGUUAGAGCAAUCGAAGCAUAGAACUUAAGCCCCAGUAAACGGCGGCCGUAACUAUAACGGUCCUAAGGUAGCGAAAUUCCUUGUCGGGUAAGUUCCGACCCGCACGAAAGGUGUAAUGAUUUGGGCACUGUCUCAACAAAGGAUCCGGUGAAAUUGUAGUAGUCGUGAAGAUGCGACUUACCCACGAUAGGACGGAAAGACCCCGUGGAGCUUUACUGUAGGCUGGCAUUGGAAUUUGGUAUUAAAUGUACAGGAUAGGUGGGAGACUAAGAAGCGAGAGCGCCAGUUUUCGUGGAGUCAAUGUUGGGAUACCACUCUUUUGAUACUAAAUUUCUAACUUGAUACUCUGAAGCGAGUAUAAGGACACUGUCAGUUGGGCAGUUUGACUGGGGCGGUCGCCUCCUAAAGAGUAACGGAGGCGUUCAAAGGUUCCCUCAGAAUGGAAGGAAAUCAUUCAAAGAGUGCAAAGGCAAAAGGGAGCUUAACUGCGACACCAACAAGUGGAGCAGAUAGGAAACUAGGACUUAGUGAUCCGGUGGUACCGAGUGGAAGGGCCAUCGCUCAACGGAUAAAAGCUACCCCGGGGAUAACAGGCUUAUCUCCCCCAAGAGUUCACAUCGACGGGGAGGUUUGGCACCUCGAUGUCGGCUCGUCUCAUCCUGGGGCUGGAGUAGGUCCCAAGGGUUGGGCUGUUCGCCCAUUAAAGAGGCACGCGAGCUGGGUUCAGAACGUCGUGAGACAGUUCGGUCCCUAUCCAUCGUGGGCGAAGGAAAUUUGAGAGGAGCUGUCCUUAGUACGAGAGGACCGGGAUGGACAGACCGCUGGUGUAUCAGUUAUCAUGCCAAUGGUAAUGCUGAAUAGCUAAGUCUGGAAGGGAUAAGUGCUGAAGGCAUCUAAGCACGAAGCCCCCCUCAAGAUGAGAUUUCCUGUUGCAGAAAUGCAAGAGAGAUUCGAUAAAGAAAAUGUCGUAGAUAGGUCAGAGGUGUAAAGGUGGCAACAUCAAAGCUAACUGAUACUAAUAAAUCGAAAGCUUGACCA